rnacentral:tRNA from 1 species
UCCCUGGUGGCUCAGAUGGUAAAGCAUCUGCCUGCAAUGCGGGAGACCCAGGUUCAAUCCCUGGGUGGAGAA